GAUGAACGCUGGCGGCGUGCCUAAUACAUGCAAGUCGAGCGAACGGACGAGAAGCUUGCUUCUCUGAUGUUAGCGGCGGACGGGUGAGUAACACGUGGAUAACCUACCUAUAAGACUGGGAUAACUUCGGGAAACCGGAGCUAAUACCGGAUAAUAUUUUGAACCGCAUGGUUCAAAAGUGAAAGACGGUCUUUCUGUCACUUAUAGAUGGAUCCGCGCUGCAUUAGCUAGUUGGUAAGGUAACGGCUUACCAAGGCAACGAUGCAUAGCCGACCUGAGAGGGUGAUAGGCCACACUGGAACUGAGACACGGUCCAGACUCCUACGGGAGGCAGCAGUAGGGAAUCUUCCGCAAUGGGCGAAAGCAUGACGGAGCAACGCCGCGUGAGUGAUGAAGGUCUUCGGAGCGUAAAACUCUGUUAUUAGGGAAGAACAUAUGUGUAAGUAACUGUGCACAUCUUGACGGUACCUAAUCAGAAAGCCACGGCUAACUACGUG
rnacentral:rRNA from 1 species